GACGGAGGGUGCAAACGUUGUCGAAGAUCACUGGGCGUAAAGCGCAUGUAGGUGGUUUGGUAAGUCUGGUAUUAAAUCCCGAUGCUUAACAUCGGACAGGUACCAGAUACUGCCUGACUUGAGGAUAGCAGGGGUAAGCGGAACUUUGAGUGUAGGAGUGAAAUCCGUAGAUAUUCAAAGGAACACCAAUGGCGAAGGCAGCUUACUGGGCUAUUUCUGACACUGAGAUGGCGAAAAGCGUGGGGAGCAAACGGG
rnacentral:rRNA from 1 species